rnacentral:rRNA from 1 species
AUUGAACGCUAGCGGGAUGCUUUACACAUGCAAGUCGAACGAGUGGCGGACGUGUGAGUAAUAUAUCGGAACGUGCCCAGUGGCGGGGGAUAACUACUCGACAGUGUGGAUAAUACCGCAUACUAUAGGCGCGGCCGAUAUCGGAUUAGCUAGUGGGUGGGGUAAAGGCGCACCAAGGCAACGAUCUGUAGCUGGUUUGAGAGGACGACCAGCCACACUGGGACGGAGAAACGGCCCAGACUCCUACGGGAGGCAGCAGUGGGGAAUUUUGGACAAUGGGGGAAACCCUGAUCCAGCCAUCCCGCGUGUAUGAGAAGGCCUUCGGUUUGUAAAGUACUUUUGGCAGAGAAGCGGUAUCUGCAGAAUAAGCACCGGCUAACUACGUGCCAGCCGCCGCGGUAAUAC